CAACACAAUUUCGUUUGCCAAAAAGAGAAGCGCGUGGUUGGCUUUUUUAGCGGCACGCAAUUUGAUGCAAGUGAAUCCUAUUAAAAAAGUUAUAGAUAUAAGCAAAUCUUUAGUGUUUUGCGUAGUGGAAAUUGCGAAAUUGGUGUACAUCGCAUCGGGCUAGUGUACAACGCUCGCCUCGUGCGCUGCUUUCAUAAUGUCUGAUGCAAAUUCGAAUGCGAAUGGCAAUGGAAAUGAAAAUGCUCGAGCACAGGAUGAAGAAUUGCCAAACGACAUUGCUUUGGAUAAUGCCAUCUUUGCCGCAGCCUAUCAGAGCGAUGAUGAACCAGCUGAUGAGGAGCUGGAGGCUGACGCACAAAGCGAGGACAAUUCGAAUGAAGUAAACGCGGAGGGUGAAGAUGAUGCAGAGGAUGCCGAAGUAGAAGUUGAUGGAGAGGGCGAAGAAGGCGAUAAUGAUGGAGAUGGCGACGCAGCUGUUGAAGAUGAUGAUGCCGAUGCUGAUAAUGCCAAUGCAGAGGAUGACCCUGCGGCAGAUCGGCGUUCGGCAACCAAAAGAGAACUUACCCAAAUCAUAGAUAAAUGGGAGCAGGAGCAAACACAGAGUGGCUACGAUCCAGUGCCCACCCUCAGAAGUCUGGCGGAGAUCUUUGAGCGUGAAAAGGAUGUAUACAUGCGAAAAGAUCCCGAUCCACUGGACUUAAGACAUCCCUAUAGAACCGAUCCAAGUUGCCAAUAUGGGUUGAUGCUUAAACUGCUCUUUCGCAAGGAUCAGUUCAUGGGCAAACUGCUUAAUGACUAUCUGAGGGAAAACUACUUUAGUCGGCAAAACGUAAGUCGCAGCUCCCUUGAGCUAAACAUCAUUGCUUGUCGGCUAAUACUCGUCGUUAUGCCUGGCCUGGAGACAACAGCAGUAUUUCAGACUGCCGAGGAGGACGGCAUCAUCAGUCGUCUUUAUAACUGGGCAGAAGAUAGCAUUGAACCACUUCAAAGCUAUGCCACAGGUCUGUUAGCCGCUGCCAUGGAGGUUAGUGAUAUUGCGAUUAGUUGUCGCGACCAGAAUAUGCGAUUGGUGCCCAAGAUGAUCAAUCGCCUGCACAUGCUACUUGCCUGUAGUUGCAUGAGCAAAAAUGCCACAGGAGAAGCUAGCACUGCGCAUAACAACUCUGCGGACAGCAGUUUCUCGUCGGGUAUGCUCAGCUGGAUGGCUUGUGGCGCUGCCUCAGCGCCGCAGUCGCCGCAACAUAAUGGCGCUAGUGGUAGUGCAUCAAAUAUGUCGAUAUUGUUUGAGAACAGCCGGGACGCGUUUCCAUUGUCACGCUAUUAUAAGCGCAUGUAUAUACCGCUCCAUCCGCCCACUGCAGACACCAGCCAGAUGCUCAUCAUGCGCUUCCUAACCAGCCUAGGCGAGUACCAGGAAUUCCUGGGUAUGGCGUUUGGCAACAAUGUUAUGGUGCUUAUUUUUAGCCACCUGGAAGAGCUGGACAGACGAGACACUUGCCUUGCCUAUGAGGUGCUCAAGUAUCUUGCCUCCUUGCUCUGUCACAAGAAGUUUGCUUUAGAAUUUAUUUCCCAUGGUGGUCUGGAGCUACUUUUGAAUGUGCCACGACCAAGUUUGGCCACAACGGGUGUAUCCAUUGCAAUAUACUAUUUGGCGUACUGUGAGGAUGCCAUGGAACGCAUUUGCAGCAUGCCACGUCCAUUAAUUUCGAAUCUGGUGCGUUAUGCUCUAUGGAUACUGGGAAGGUGUCAUGAUUCGUCCAAAUGUCAUGCCACCAUGUUCUUCAGCUUGAGCUUUCAGUUUAAGGUCAUCCUCGAUGAGUUUGAUGCCCAGGAUGGCUUACGAAAACUCUACAAUGUUAUUUCCGUACUGAAAAUUCUGGAUCCCAGUCAUAAUGAUAGUGAAAAUGCCUCAGAUAUCAACGAGGAUGUUGAAUGUGCUUCCCGUCAGAUGGUUCGACACGUUUGUGUUGCUCUCAAGCGCUAUAUGGAAGCGCAUUUCUUUUACAAGUACAACAACUUCAUAUGCCAACACUACGCUACCUCGUCCUCAUCGUCGACGCACUACUUCAGCCAACAUCCGACAGUGGCAGCUAAACUCACAUUUGAUCAGUUGCAUGAGCAGAUAAGAACGCUCCAAGAGCAUACAUCAGUGCGGGCACAUUGGGAACCAGUGGAUCAGCUACUAAAACUAGGUGGAAUAACGAUGUUGUUGCGCAUCAUUGCCUUCAGCUACGAAUGGGUGAACAGUGGUCGCUCGGAGACCGUCCGUUCAGCUCUCGAUGUGCUUAGCGUAUGCUGUGUGAUACCGCGCGUCUAUCUGGUGCUUUGCGAACGCCUGCAGAUGCUAGACAAGACGACAACGUCUGGCUUCUGUUCGGUACUGGGAGCUGCUGCCGGCGAGAUCACAGCCGAUGCUGAAGUCUUAAAAUCUGCGCUGGCCGUCCUCUGUCAUUGUGUCUGCUCACCAAUAAUUCGCAAGGACAGUGGGAGCAGUCUAAUGAAAUUUGGCAACUCGUCGCGCAAGAACAAAGCUAAUCAAAAGUAUGCCGAGGAACUGAUUGAAAAGGUCUGGGAGUCUGUGUGCUCCAACAAUGGUAUUGUGGUGUUGCUAUCACUCAUGCAAACCAAAGGACCCAUUACAGAUGCCGACUGCAUACGCGGCAUGGCCUGUCGAGCAUUGGCCGGUUUGGCGCGCUCCGAUCGUGUGCGUCAAAUUGUUGGCAAACUACCGUUGUUUGCCAGUGGACAGCUGCAAGCUCUUAUGCGAGAUCCCAUAUUGCAAGAGAAGCGAGCGGAGCAUGUGCUCUUCCAAAAGUAUGCACUGGAGCUGCUCGAACGCAUUUCUGGCAAGACAAAACCACUGAACAACCCUCUGGAUCCAUCGCUGACUAACAUGCACAAGGCUAACGUAAUUGCUCAGACGCGCAUUCAGUACAACGAACAGCAAUUGUAUCAGCUAAUCUUCGAGCACCUGGAGAGCAAAGGACUUGGUCAAACGGCUCAGAUGCUGCAGCGUGAGGUCGGAUUGCCAUUGCAGACGACAACAACACGCAACUUUCAUCAGUCGCCAUUCGACUAUAAAGGUUUCUCCGGCAUUAGUUCAAUAUCACGUAGUCGACUGCGCAACCGUAUGCAAGAUGUGAAUGCGGCUAUCAUGUCUAGUGGGGAGCCAAGUCGCAGUCAAGCAGACGAUACAUCGCUCCACUGUAGCAGCAGUGGCAAUGCAUCCACGAGCGGAUCGGCUACUGCACCAGGCAUACCUAACUUCAAUCAUCUCAGCGCACAGACGCCCAUAAAGCUGAGAAAGACGGAGCGUGCCACAUCCUCCGUCAGUCGUUCACUACAGAAGCAAAUUAGUCUGGGGAAUGCAGAGUCCAGUUCCGUAGGAUUGACAGAUGACCUGGCUAUCUCGCCAGCGCUGUAUCCCAAGCGGGUCACUCUUAACAGCAUCGUGACUGAGUAUCUGACGAAUCAGCAUUCACUGUGCAACAAUCCGGUGACAACAUGCCCACAAUUCGAUCUGUACGAGCCGCACAAGUGUCCCGAUCCACGUCCCAGCCGUCUACUUAGCUCCAACUACAAUCUGACUUCCAGACACUUUCGUACUCAGGCAGGAUUUAAUACCGCACGAUUCGAUCGUCGUCAUGUUCAUACACACUUUGCACCAUGGCGUACAAUACGCUCUGCUGACUAUGAUGAUCUGGAGUUCACUUGCUGUGACGUUGUGGGCAAUUAUCUUAUUGUUGGCACACAUCAGGGCGAAAGCAAAGUGUUCAACAUGAACGACGGCGUGGAACAGUUCUCCUCCAUAUGUCACACAUAUGGCGUGGAUGCAAUACAGGCGAAUCGAGGCGGCGAUCUGGUACUGACCACCAGUCUGUGGCGUAUUCGUACUACAAUUCUGUGGUCCAUUACCGACAAUGAAUUCCGCUCCAAGUUGCGGCUGCCCGAUGUCGGAUACUGCGAGUUUAGUCAGACAACUCAGGAUCGUUUGCUGGGCACACACAAUGAUUGUGCGGUACUAUAUGAUAUUAAUACGGGUUCAAAAGUCUCAACCUUUACACCGACCAUACCAAAUCAGUACACAAAGAAUCGCGCGACGCUGUGCCGUACAGAUGAGUUGCUGUUAUCAGAUGGCGUGCUUUGGGACGUUCGCUCCGGCAAAGAAAUUCAUAAGUUUGAUAAGUUCAAUCAGUGUAUAUCGGGUGUAUUUCAUCCUAACUGCCUGGAGAUCAUUGCCAACACAGAAGUUUGGGAUCUACGCACGUUUCAUUUGCUGCAAACGGUGCCGGUGUUGGACCAAAGGAACUGCACAUUCUCGCCUAUGCAUGUGAUAUAUGGGGCCAGUUUAGGUGCCGAUAGAGACCACGAUAUGGAGACGACCACCUAUGAUACCAGCUUUAAUGUACUCGAUGCAUACGACUAUUCGAGCAUCGCAACCAUUGAUGUGAAGCGCAACAUUAACGAUCUAAGCGUUAGUGCAAAUGGUAGCCUAAUUGCCGUUGUAGAGGACCACACCGGUUACGAUUCAAAGCAGGAGACCUAUGUGAAGAUCUAUGCCGUUGGUGUUAAAAAGAGCGAGCGCUCGGAAGAGGUGCGUGCGGUUAAGGACCUGGCCGUCGAUGAGGGCGUCGUUCGAAGCGGCGGCGGCGCGUCCGAGGAACCGUCACCGCCCGUCAAUGCACCAAGCGGUGACUCUCCGCUAAUUCGCAUCGUCGAAGCGGCGGCUCGCGCCCAUACGCCAGCGUUGAAUUUUGCUUUGCUCGAUGCAGAUGCCGAAGCCGAUGUUGAUGCUAUUGCAGAUGGCAUUGGUGUUGGUCUAGGUGUUGGUGUGGGUGUCGGUCCAGGUGUAGGCGGUGUUGACGACGGCAAUGAGGCACGCGCCCGUCGCCCGAGCCGCCUAAGGCCUGCGUCACAUGCGAAUGCAAAUCUGGCUCGCCAGCAUGCUCCCAACAGCUCAAUUGUUGGUGUGCGACGGCGAGCACGUACACUGGGCGGUGCAGGCGCGCCAAUCGAUCUCAGAACGCUCAUGCGGCAGGUGGAUGAUAUUGAAUUUAAUAUUAUGUCUAUGCUUGCAGGAAGAUGAUGAGGAGGUGCCCGAAUCCAAUGAGGAGGGCUCUGAUACGGGAUCGGAUACGGGCUCUGAAAAUGCAUUUGCAAUCGGUCCGAAUUUCAUGGGUUUCCCGUUACGUAGCCAUCGCAAUCGGAAUGUCAUUAGUGAAUCCUCC